CUUAUUUUCCGUUAUUAGACAGACGAAAACUUGGCAUCAGAUUUUUGAUCCUGUCUCUUUAAUGAGUGCGAGACUCUUGACGGCGUGUGCUGGUUUAGAUUAUGAGUGUUGGGGAGGCACCGCUGUUUUCCAUUAGGAGCUAAGAGCAUUUAGUUUUGUCAUGUGUAUUAAGGGUGACGCUAAUGUGAGCCACGUGUGACAGAUCCGUCCCGACGAGAGCCGUCGCCGACAGAAGCCUCACGCUGCACAGGCGACGCGCGAAGGCCGAGGUAAACGUCGGCGGGCGCGCGGGGGGCGGACAGGGGAGUGUGAAAACAUCAGCAGAUUGAAGGCGCUCGGGCAGAUCGCAGAGCGGGAGGUGCAGAGAGGAAGAGUGAUGAGGGCAGACUGCUGCUGCUGCUGCUGCAGCCGGCGGGAUGUGGAGCCAGCUUCAAGGAAGACUCACCAGGCGCAACCCCUUCAAACACCCAGCGCUACCAGACCCAAGAAAACCCUGAAAAGUGAGUUUUCCUGGGUUUAAACGAGACAUUUUGGAUUCUUUAACCUAAUCGAGGCUGCCAAGUUUUUAACUAUUACGGCAAUAAAAUUCACAUUUGCAAUGAUUGUGUGAAUUUUUGCCU